rnacentral:tRNA from 1 species
CGGGGUGUAGUUCAGGUUGGUAGAAUGCAUGGUUUGGGACCAUGAGGUCGCACGUUCGAGUCGUGUCACCCCGACCA